GGCCGGAGCUGCUCUGCGGGGCCGUGGCGCUCGGCUGCGCGCUGCUCCUCGCCCUCAAGUUCACCUGCAGUCGAGCAAAAGAUGUGAUAAUACCAGCAAAGCCACCUGUCAGCUUUUUCUCCUUGAGGUCUCCAGUCCUUGACCUCUUCCAGGGGCAGCUGGAUUAUGCAGAGUACGUUCGACGGGAUUCAGAGGUGGUACUGCUCUUCUUCUAUGCCCCUUGGUGUGGACAGUCCAUCGCUGCCAGGGCAGAAAUUGAGCAAGCAGCAAGUCGGCUUUCAGAUCAGGUGUUGUUUGUGGCAAUUAACUGUUGGUGGAACCAGGGGAAAUGCAGAAAACAGAAACACUUCUUUUAUUUUCCUGUAAUAUAUCUGUAUCAUCGGAGUUUUGGACCAAUCGAAUACAAAGGCCCCAUGAGUGCUGUUUACAUUGAGAAGUUUGUCCGCCGGGUGAUGAAACCACUUCUCUACAUCCCAUCUCAAUCAGAAUUACUAGAUUUUCUCUCAAACUACGAGCCUGGAGUACUCGGGUACUUUGAGUUCAGUGGCUCACCCCAGCCUCCUGGUUAUUUGACCUUCUUCACCUCAGCAUUACAUUCAUUAAAGAAAGAUGGAGUCUCGCCCUGCCGCCCAGGCUGGAGUGCAGUGGCGUGAUCUUGGCUCACUGGAAUCUGCCUCCCGGGUUCAAGCGAUUCUCCUGCCUCAGCCUCCUGAGUAGCUGGAGUUACAUAGAUUACCUAGGAACAGUACGAUUUGGGGUUAUCACAAAUAAACAUCUUGCGAAACUGGUAUCCUUAGUACACUCUGGAAGUGUGUAUUUACAUAGACAUUUCAACACAUCACUUGUCUUCCCCAGGGAGGUCCUGAACUACACAGCUGAGAACAUCUGUAAGUGGGCCUUAGAAAACCAGGAGACGCUCUUUCGGUGGCUGCGGCCACACGGAGGCAAGAGUCUCCUGCUGAAUAACGAGCUGAAGAAAGGACCAGCGCUGUUUCUGUUCAUACCUUUUAAUCCCCUGGCCGAAAGUCAUCCUUUA
rnacentral:lncRNA from 1 species